rnacentral:tRNA from 1 species
GGUUAAGACACCGCCCUUUCACGGCGGUAACAUGGGUUCGAUUCCCGUACGGGUCACCA